rnacentral:rRNA from 1 species
UGUGAACGCUGGCGGUAGGCCUAACACAUGCAAGUCGAACGGCAGCACAGUAAGAGCUUGCUCUUACGGGUGGCGAGUGGCGGACGGGUGAGGAAUACAUCGGAAUCUACUUUUUCGUGGGGGAUAACGUGGGGAAACUUACGCUAACACCGCAUACGACCUACGGGUGAAAGCAGGGGAUCUUCGGACCUUGCGCGAUUGAAUGAGCCGAUGUCGGAUUAGCUAGUUGGCGGGGUAAAGGCCCACCAAGGCGACGAUCCGUAGCUGGUCUGAGAGGAUGAUCAGCCACACUGGAACUGAGACACGGUCCAGACUCCUACGGGAGGCAGCAGUGGGGAAUAUUGGACAAUGGGCGCAAGCCUGAUCCAGCCAUACCGCGUGGGUGAAGAAGGCCUUCGGGUUGUAAAGCCCUUUUGUUGGGAAAGAAAAGCAGCAGGUUAAUACCCCGCUGUUCUGACGGUACCCAAAGAAUAAGCACCGGCUAACUUCGUG